rnacentral:rRNA from 1 species
UCACCAUCUACCUGUGCUGUCCAGUUGAAACGUUGCUUGGCACCACCACAUGCCCCCGUCUGCUGACGGGCACACGGACCGGUCGAGAUGGUCUGUGGGCACGGGACAACACUGAGUGGACGGCUACCCUGCGAGCACUCUGUGCUUUGGGGUGUUCUCCGACGAUGGUGCUUGGUAUAUACUGACUCGUUGCUGAGCAAAGUGAAAAGCCUGAGGUUUGGCUGCGAAGCAAUCGAGUUGGUGGCGGACCGCCUUGCUGGUUGGUUUGCUGUACCGUCGUUGGACGAGCACGCUCGUUGGGUAACCCAACGGCUGUGCUGGUGUCUGUGCGUCGUUGAGCGGUUGUUGUGCCUGGCACAUGUGACACACUGGCCUGGGAAAGUGGUUCUUUCCUGGCCUUACGAACCGUAACUAGCGGUGUGUCUGUGCCUGUGUGCUACGUCCGUGGCCGUGAUGAGACGACGUGGUAGGGCCCGUGCUAUGCUUCUGCACGUGGCUUAAGACUCAAUGAGUGUCAGCUAGGCACCGCCAGUGUUUUUUUUCAUUUAUUUUUUUGACCACUUCUUUGUUGAAGAAAGAAAUUCUAGUCUUAUCGGUGGAUCACUCGGCUCGUGGAUCGAUGAAGAACGCAGCCAACUGCGAUAAUUAGUGCGAACUGCAGAAACCUUGAACACAAAACUUUCGAAUGCACAUUGCGCCAUUGGAGUUACAUCCAUUGGCACGCCUGGUUCAGGGUCGUUAUCAUAAAAGGCACUGCUGUGCCUGUUAUGUUGGUGAGAUCAUGUCGGCAUGACGUGUUCUUGCGCUAUUCUUGAAAAUGCUCGGCCGUGGAGUGUGGUUGUGUUGGCGCGAAACUGUCAGGUUCUUUCGCGUUUUACGGUCCGUAACUAGGACGCAACUGCUCGCCAUGUGUGCUGGGUGGAAUGCUUCGCUGGUAGGCAUUCCGUGUUUGAAUUUUCGACCUGAACUCAGACGUGAGUACCCGCUGAACUUAAGCAUAUCAUU